rnacentral:rRNA from 1 species
ACGUAGGUGGCGAGCGUUGUCCGGAAUUACUGGGUGUAAAGGGCGAGUAGGCGGGUAAACAAGUCAGAUGUGAAAUACCACGGCUCAACUGUGGGGGUGCAUUUGAAACUGUAUAUCUUGAGUGAUGGAGAGGCAGGCGGAAUGCCCAGUGUAGCGGCUAAAUGCGUAGAUAUUAGGAGGAACACCAGGGGCGAAGGCGGCCUGCUAGACAUUAACUGACGCUGAGGCGCGAAAGCGUGGGGAGCAACCAA